CUGGUCUGUUCAGUCAGGAAUCACAUCAGUAGUGUCUCCAGAGGAGAGAGGAUCUCUGCCUGUGGAUAAACAAGGUUGCAUCAACAACAAAUUUGACCAUCCCAAUAUUGAAGAAGUGAUCUGGGCUUCAAAGACUGUGGUUCAUCUUCUAAGACCAUGACUGUGGAGGAUGAACUCAGCAGGUGCAUCAUCCAGGAGAAGGACAGAUAUAGUUAAACGAGAAUAUUGUGUCCAAAUUUAAUGUGUCUAUUGAUGCCUUCAGAGAACUUCAUGAGCGAUGAUUGUGUUAUUAUGUGCACAACCAAAGGAACUGCAGCCUUGGUUACACACCUACUUUUUAUGAACUGAAACCCAAUGAGUAUUCUGGAAAUAAAGCAUGUUCUGUCACCUGA